CUGUGCACAUUCUAUUUAUCUAAGCAAUGCUAACUCCAGACCCAAUGUGUUGGUUUCUCCCCUGAAACUGAAGUAGCUCUGCAGUGGUCAAGCCAGAUUUCAAGAAGUUACUACCUACCCUCAUUCAUCUUAAGCGAGCACACUUGUACCUUUAAAGUCCUUAGGAAGAAAUGACUGGAUCGAGUUUAACCAAAUAGAGAUGGUGAAAUUAAAAAAGAGGCCAUGGUUAUCAAGCACAUCAACAAAAUAGGCAGUCAUGCUUCAGAAGUGAAACAGAGAUGCACACAGAGAUUGGAAGAAAAUAAGACAAUUAUUCAAGGGUCCAUGACUAUACUAGGAAAAAUGUUUAAAAAAAUCUCCCUGAGCCUGUUUCAUGGAAUGAGGCUUGCCUUGGAGCAUCCCAGGACUAUUGGCUAAAUUAGCUUUAAGCAUAAAAAUGUAAGCACUUUGUUGAACGUUUUGAGUGUUGGUUUGAUUUUGAGCAAGGUUAAUUGAUUAGUUGGGAUAAAAUGGAGAGUGAAACAGCUGAGCACAUCUGGUAACAACUGAUAAGAACCACAACCACAUACUCAAUUUCCCUCCUAGAAAGGGAGGAGCUGCCCUCUUACCUGACAGCUCAGUAAUGUGCUCCCACCCCUCCCACCUAAUGUCACUGCGGGAGCCCCUGAUGGAAAGUCUCUAUCCACUGACAGAAGAAAGAAGUUGGACUUGUGAUUUUAAGGAGAACUUUAGGAUGCUGGAAUAAGCCCUAUUCCUCUU